GCCAGGUGCGGUGGCUCACGCCUGUAAUCCCAGAAUCUUGGGAGGCUGAGGCAGGUGGAUCACCUGUGGUCAGGAGUUCAGAGACCAGCCUGACCAACAUGGUGAAAUCCCGUCUCUA
ensembl:misc_RNA Metazoa_SRP Metazoan signal recognition particle RNA